GUUAAUUUUUAGAGGCCCGCUCUUAAUUUCACAUCCCUCCAAUUUAUCCCUCCCUAUCUUCAUUUUCUAUUUCCCCCUAUUAUCAUCCAUUCAUUCAUUUAUUGAAACACAAACCCUAAUUUCUUUUUUCACCAUACGCAUCGUCGAUCCAGCAGCAGUUCAUACAACAAUGCUUCACAAACGAUUCAAGUCCACUAAAUGGUAUAAGUUCUGUAUUUGAAAGAUUUUGUUUUUUUAAUUUUGACUAUACACAUCGUAUUAUGCGAAUGGUUUGUUGUUUGAUUGAUUGAUUCAGUAAAACGGCGUUGAAGUUAGCUACAUCUCGGAUUAAAUUGAUGAAAAUUAAGAAAGGAGUACAGAUUAAUCAGAUGAAGAGGGAGCUGGCUCAGUUGCUUGAGACUGGCCAGGAACGUACCGCUUGAAUUCGAGUUGAACAUGUAAUUAGGGAAGAGAAGAUGGUGGCUACAUAUGAUUUGAUUGAGAUAUACUGUGAAUUUAUUGUAGGUAGAUUGCCCAUUAUCGAAUCCCAAAAGUAAAACUUGUCCCGUUGAUCUGAAGGAGGCCGUCACAAGUGUGAUAUGUGCAGCUCCUAGAUGUUCUGAUAUAUCUGAACUUUAUGAUGUUCGAAAACAGUUUACUGCAAAAUAUGUAAAAGAUUUUGUUUCUGCAGCGAUUGAACUGCAUCCUGAUUGCGGUGUGAGUCGCAUGGUAACCUUUUUCUCAAAUGAGCCAAUACCACUUUACUAUUAACAAGCGGUUAAAUUUGAAAACGUCAAUUACAGUCUUUACAGUCACAGCUUGCUCGAGUUUGGUCAGAAUGUUGCAUUUGACUUGGUUCGUGGGUGAAACUUGGUAAAAGUUUCAAAUGUGGGUAGGUACAAACACAAUUUAGUAACCGAGAAUAUUAUUAAUUAUUAUUUAUCAAAAACUCAAAACAACUGAUUAUUUCAUUUGUUUGUCGUCUUGACAGGUGCCGCCUAAUUUAGUUUAGGCUUCAUCUUUUUAAUUGGCCCGUCCUUACCCGUACCAAAAUAAUCUUUAUUUAAGCCGGCCCGUCCUUACCCGAACCAAAAUAAUAUUUUUUGAAGUCCCCAUUCUGACUCAAAUCCGUCCUGACCCGACCCAAACCAAACUAAUAAUUUUUAAAUCGGCUAUUCUUUUCUGAACUCAGCUGACCCGAACCUGCCCUGACCUGUUACCGCGUCCAAACAUAAGGAGUGCGACAGUUUGACUUAAACAUAAAAAGUGAGACAUUUUGACUUAAGGGAGGAAAUGGACUUGCAUGAGAAUUUGCAGCAAGGGAGGAAAUGGACUUGCCUGGUUCAAUUCUUAUUCUUAAACUCUGGAUAUAAUUAUAGUUGAGAUAUUAUAAUGAGGUCAAUUAUAAUUCAAAAGAUACCCAAGACCAUUACUUCACGUUGGUAUUACAGUGAAAAUUGUACUUUUUAUGGCACCUGCUAUAUUUGGUUUAACAAAUCCAUUAAAUUUUACUUCUUUUAAUUUAUCAUGAAUAUUCUUCUUUUGAGAACUGAUGCUUAUACGGAAAGGGAGAAGUAAGUGUUUUAUUGUCUAUUGCUGUUUGCCAGCAUCUGACAUUUUGUUAUAACCUUUUUGAAGUUUGUUAUGUGAAGGUAGGUAUGGAGAGGUGUCGGUCUUUGAAAGUAUCCCUCAGCUAUUAAGAAAAGAAGCUGGGCUUGGUGUGCAAAAGCAAGCCGUGCAUCUUCUCUACCUUCUCUUAAAUUGUAAGCUAAUCUCUUCCCUCGUUGGGUGGUUGUGACUGACAAUUGUUACUAGUGCAGAUUAGUUAUGAUACAGGAAAAUUGGGCGAUUUGUUAGAAGCAUUGGUUGAUCUCUGUUGAUCUCUGUUGUCAUCAAAAUGUGAGUUUGUAAUUUUUUAUGCACCCGGUAAAACAGUUUUGGGCUUUAUGUUUUGUAGAUUGGAAAGUUGAAUUUAGUUAUCAAGGAGCUCGUUAAGGAAAAAGAUGAAGAAAAAGAAAGGUUCAAUGGAAUUACUGUGGGGUUGUUGGCUGAAAAAGAAAAAGAUAAGGUGGAUAAAGAUGCUAUGCUUGAUAGGAUGUCACAAAUUGAAGCUAUGUUAACAACUACAGUUCGAAGAUAGGCCAUAAACACUUGGUUUUGAAUGUUUAGUUUAUCUUUUUAGGAUACUUUUAGUUAUUUUAUGUUUUAGUUGGUGUUUUUUAUAUGCUUUUGAAAACGAGAUGUUUCAUGUAAUUUUGGGAUUUUAUUA